rnacentral:rRNA from 1 species
UAGUCAUAUGCUUGUCUCAAAGAUUAAGCCAUGCAUGUCUAAGUAUAAGCAAUUUAUACAGUGAAACUGCGAAUGGCUCAUUAAAUCAGUUAUCGUUUAUUUGAUAUUUCUUACUACAUGGAUAACCGUGGUAAUUCUAGAGCUAAUACAUGCACGAAAGCCCCGACCUCUGGAAGGGGUGUAUUUAUUAGAUAAAAAACCAAUGCCAAUUUAUUGGCUCAGUGGUGAUUCAUAAUAACUUUGCGGAGCGUAUGGCCUUGAGCCGACGCCGUUUCAUUCAAAUUUCUGCCCUAUCAACUUUCGAUGGUAGGAUAGUGGCCUACCAUGGUUUCAACGGGUAACGGGGAAUUAGGGUUCGAUUCCGGAGAGGGAGCCUGAGAAACGGCUACCACAUCCAAGGAAGGCAGCAGGCGCGCAAAUUACCCAAUCCCGACACGGGGAGGUAGUGACAAUAAAUAACAAGACAGGGCUCUUUUGGGUCUUGUCAUUGGAAUGAGUACAAUUUAAACACCUUAACGAGGAACAACU